rnacentral:rRNA from 1 species
AGCGAACGUUUGCGGCGGGCUUAACACAUGCAAGUCGAACGGGCUGUUCCUUCGGGGGCAGUCAGUGGCGCACGGGUGCGUAACACGUAGGUAAUCAACCCUCUGGUUGGGGAUAACACUUCGAAAGGAGUGCGUAAUACCCGGUAUGGCGCAGCGGUCUUCGGAUCGCGGCGAGAAAGGACCCGCAAGGGUUGCCAGAGGACGAGCCUGCGGCCCAUCAGCUAGUUGGCGAGGUAACGGCUCACCAAGGCGAAGACGGGUAGCUGGUCUGAGAGGAUGAUCAGCCACACUGGAACUGAGACACGGUCCAGACUCCUACGGGAGGCAGCAGU